rnacentral:rRNA from 1 species
CCUACGGGUGGCAGCAGUGGGGAAUAUUGCGCAAUGGGGGCAACCCUGACGCAGCAACGCCGCGUGAUUGAAGAAGGCCUUCGGGUUGUAAAGACCUUUAAUCGGGGACGAAUUUUGACGGUACCAGAAGAUUAAGCUCCGUCUAUCUACGGGCCAGCAGCCGCGGGAAUCUGUAGGGAGAAAGCGUAAUCAGGAUUUAAUGGGUGUAAAGGGUGUGUAGGCGGGCAUGCUAGCUAGAAGUGAAAUCUGGGGGUUUAACCCCCGAACUGCUUUUGAAACUGCGUGUCUUGAGUGAUGGAGAGGCAGGCGGAAUUCCCGGUGUAGCGGUGAAAUGCGUAGAUAGUGCGAAGAACACCAGUGGCGAAGGCGGCCUGCUGGACAUUAACUGACGCUGAGGCGCGAAAGCGUGGGGAGCAAACAGGAUUAGAUACCCUUGUAGUC